GACGAACGCUGGCGGCGUGCCUAAUACAUGCAAGUAGAACGCACAGUUUAUACCGUAGCUUGCUACACCAUAGACUGUGAGUUGCGAACGGGUGAGUAACGCGUAGGUAACCUGCCUGGUAGCGGGGGAUAACUAUUGGAAACGAUAGCUAAUACCGCAUAAUAUUGAUUAUUGCAUGAUAAUUGAUUGAAAGAUGCUAUUGCAUCACUACCAGGUGGACCUGCGUUGUAUUAGCUAGUAGGUGAGGUAACGGCUCACCUAGGCGACGAUACAUAGCCGACCUGAGAGGGUGAUCGGCCACACUGGGACUGAGACACGGCCCAGACUCCUACGGGAGGCAGCAGUAGGGAAUCUUCGGCAAUGGACGAAAGUCUGACCGAGCAACGCCGCGUGAGUGAAGAAGGUUUUCGGAUCGUAAAGCUCGGUUGUAAGAGAAGAACGGGUGUGAGAGUGGAAAGUUCACACUGUGACGGUAUCUUAACAGAAAGGGACGGCUAACUACGUG
rnacentral:rRNA from 1 species